rnacentral:rRNA from 1 species
GAUGAACGCUAGCGGCAGGCUUAAUACAUGCAAGUCGAGGGGCAGCGCAGGUAGCAAUACUGGGCGGCGACCGGCAAACGGGUGCGGAACACGUACAGAACCUUCCUUUAAGCGGGGGAUAGCCCAGAGAAAUUUGGAUUAAUACCCCAUAGUAUUGUUGGUUGGCAUCAAAUUGACAAUUAAAGAUUUAUCACUUAAAGAUGGCUGUGCGGCUGAUUAGGUAGUUGGUGNGGGUAACGGCCUACCAAGCCUUCGAUCAGUAACUGGUGUGAGAGCACGACCAGUCACACGGGCACUGAGACACGGGCCCGACUCCUACGGGAGGCAGCAGUAAGGAAUAUUGGUCAAUGGACGCAAGUCUGAACCAGCCAUGCCGCGUGAAGGAUGAAGGCCCUCUGGGUUUGUAAACUUUCUUUUAUCUGGGAAGAGAUGCCUUGUUUUCUAACGGGUUUGACGGUACCAGAGGAAUAAGCACCGGCUAACUCCGUGCCAGCAGCCG